ACUUUGACUCGUAUUCGAUUUGA
rnacentral:snRNA from 1 species